CUGCAAAGAGCCCUGCCCCCGUUCCUCCGGCAUUCACACACCUUCCUGAUGGAACUUUUCACCUGACCAAGGGGAUAGUCAUUUCCAGUGGCCAGGCUGCAAAAAUAUUUCGGGGGA